rnacentral:lncRNA from 1 species
CAUAUAUAAUGAUUUAUUCUUUUCCAAACUCCCAUGUAACACGCUAUAUAGAUAUCUCAUAACAAAUAGCACCAGGCCCUGCAACUUCCCAGUCAUUCAACUCUUCAAAGGCUAGGUUAACUCAACAGUCUACAGAGCUUGUCAUUCAAAAGUGUCAAUAUCUCCAUUUACAAACUACUGUGUGUCUCUUUACUGUGCCUUGAGAACAUAUCUUUAUAAAUAGGUCAUUAUUGGACUGAAUUUGGGGUUGGAAUAAGAUCUGACACUAUUUAGUAUAGGGAGAUACCUAAGGGCACUCUCAGGACGACACAGAGCCACUCAGUGGGAUGAGAUGUGUUUCAUUACGUACUCUUAGCACUAGGGCUUAAACCCAGGGUCCGGCCCAUGCUAGGCAAGCUCUCUACCACUGAGCUAGGUCUAAGAAUAAAAAAUGCACUUGGAUACUCAGAAAUUCCUAUGGUCUAAAGGUUCGUUCUAUCUAAGUUCUUAUAUAUCCUGGAUCUCAGCAAAUAAAAUAUGAUAAUUAGUGCUACAAUUCAGAAAUAAUAGCUGGCUCAUAAGAUCUAUGUCUAAUAUAUAACUUAUGCUAAUGUUAAUAAUUUACUCACUCUAGUGAGACUCCACUGGAAUUUAAACACCACAGUUAUAUACUAGUGUUCUUAUAUUUAGGUAUAGAAAAGGCUCAAACCAACAUAAACAAGUGCAAUUUGACAUCAUUUACGUGGCCGAACAAGAACUUUGUAACGUAAGAGUCUGCAGUCAACAGCUUGAAAAGACAAUGGAGAUGCUUCCCCAUCUGCCAAGCAUCACCUGUGAGAGUCAACACUACAGAAGCUGCCCUCCGUAAAAUGCUGUGGAAAUCUGGGUCACUCACUCCUCCCUGAUGACUUCAGAUGUGUCACCUCGACUUCUGGGAUGAAAUUGGAAAAGUGCUGUGUCACUUCCGAGUGGCUUCUCUUGAGCCACUGGAGUUUUCUUUGCUUCAGAGGAACCCCUUUCUCCCUGGAAGUCAUCAAGCCCUAAAACCUGCAGGUGUUUUUAUAUUUAAUUCGGAUGAGCAUGCUGCGUCCCCCCCCCCCCAAUCUGGUAUUUAAACACUUGGUCCCUAGUUGGUGACAGUUUGGGGAGAAUUAUGUGGUACAGCCAUUACCAGGGCUCGACCUUGACAUUACAGUCUCAUCCUCUGUCUACUUCAUGCUUGUAGCGAAAGAUGUGAUCACUCGGCUUCCUGCUCCAGCCAUCGCACCUGCUACCUGUGACCAUGCCUCUCCACCAUAACUGAGCACCCCCUCUGGAACUGUAAGCCCCCCAAAUCUCUUCUAUACAAUGCUGUGGUUACAGUCCUGCUUGAUCACAGCAAACACUAAGUAACUAUCACAGAGGCUGGCAGAGGCAGUGGGCGCUUGUCUCACACUUCCGUCACUCUGCUACUCUUUUGAGGACCGUGGAAGACUUGAGAAGUCUAUUCCAGAACAGUGGUCAGAUGCUCUAAGCAUCACUGAGUAAGCUGCUCUGACAGAAGCCUGGAAACCAGCAACGCUGAGACGGCACAGACUACGAAGGCCAGCGUGAGGGGCUAAGAAGGAAUCAAUACUAGCAGCCCCACGAGAAGCCAGUCAGUCACGUGAUGUUUUGGUCAAGGAUUUGGUUGCUUUCUGUCCACAUCUUGAGAACUUGCCUGAGGCUACAUUUAAAAUUAACGGGUUAAUUUCUUUGGUGGGGAUUAUUAUUUCUUUUUUGUUGUUGUUGUUAAGAUUUAUUUAUUUAUUACAUGUAAGUACACUGUAGCUGUCUUCAGACACACCAGAAGAGGGCACCAGAUCUUGUUACGGAUGGUUGUGAGCCACCAUGUGGUUGCUGGGAAUUGAACUCAGGAUCUUCUGAAGAGCAGUCAGUGCUUUUAACCACUGAGCCACCUCUCCAGCCCCCGGGAUUAUUAUUUCUUCUUCCUUCCUUCCUCCUCCUCUUCCUUCUUGUUUCUCCUCCUCCUAUUUGUAUAUGUUUUGUUUUUUAGAGGCAGGGUACAACCCUGUACAACCCUAGUUGUCCUGGAACUCACUAUGUUGAUCAGGUUGGCUUUGAACUCAGAGACCUACCUGCCUCUGCCUCCUGAGAGCUGGGAUUAAAGGCUAGAGAAGGAAAUUUUAAAGCAACAAAAUAUGUGGUGUGGCUGUUAUUGAUAACACUCUGCAGUCUCCAGCAAAAAGCACAAGUAGGCCAAAUGCAAAUCAGCAAGUUUAGGAGAAAAGCACACUGGCCGAGGCUGGCUGCAGGAGGCUGUAAUUGUUUAAGAGAGAGAUUGGGGCAUUAAGAAAAAGCCUGCUCUGCAGUGGAACAAAGGGAAGUGUCCCCUCAGGGCCAGACUCUACCCACCCAAGCUUCCAACCUCAGGCUCUUUAAACUGCCCCUAGAAAGCAAUUACAAACAAACUUUGCUGGGUGGUGGCUGAGGUGGGGGGUGUAGACAGGUCCCUCCCUUUCUGCUGGAUAUGAAGACAUGCAUGCUGCAAAAGUGAGGGGUGGUGGAUUUCAGACAGCUAUCAAGCCAGACAGUACGUGGCAGAUAGGCCCGGAGUGAAGGCCCUGAGAAGCCUCACUGAGUGAAGCUGAGUGAAGUCUGGGUUGCAGUGGCAACCUAAGAUGGCGGAUCUGCCAAGGAGGAAUUGUAUGGAACUGACAGAAGAUACCAGUCUAUGCAUGUAAGAAACACAUGCAUUCCAGGUCAAUAAGAAGAAAAGCACAGCCCAAGCAUGCGCUAACAAAACUGUACAACAGAGAGAAGCCUGAGCAGCAGCUAGAGGAAAAAGAACAGCCACCUCACAGGAGAAACAGUGCAGCCGACUCAGGAGCUCAGCAAAGCAGAAGACAAACAUGCCAAAGAAAAAUAAAUUCCAGGUUUGAAAUCCUGCACAAAGAAUGCCAAAUAAAUACACUUUAGUCAAAUAAAAUGUAAGAGUUUACUACCUGCAGGCUUGUACAGAAAGAA